GUCUAUGGCCACCCUGAAUGUGCCCGAUCUCGUCUGAUCUCGGAAGCUAAGCAGGGUCGGGCCUGGUUGGUACUUGGAAGGGAGACCACCUAGGAAGACCAGGUGCUGUAGGCA
rnacentral:rRNA from 1 species